rnacentral:tRNA from 42 species
GGAUCGGUAGUUCAGUUGGUUAGAAUGCCGCCCUGUCACGGCGGAGGUCGCGGGUUCGAGUCCCGUCCGGUCCGCAA